UCCCAGUUUCGCGUGAUUCCGACCAAGUUCUGUUAUAUAGCUCGAAAACAGAAACAAUAUUAUCUGCCGGUCGAUUCGAAGCACACAACGACCAGCCGGAUUAUUACGCGGUUUUUGCACCGUGACCCUGGAACAACCGGGCUCUCGACGAUGGAUUCUGACUUCCUCCGCGACGUCGUUGUAAAAGCUACGAGAUUCUGCAGCUUCUUGCUACCGGCGAGAAGCAGCACUCUCGAGGUGCGGGACAUUCGUGAUUGAUGGAUCCUCUCUCCGAGUGGUCUCUCCGGCGAAUCAGACUCGGCCACACUCUCUCUUCUCCUAACGUUCGUUCACAGUUCUUCUUCUGUGGUUGCUUCGCAGUUUCUUCUCACCACUAGAACGUACGCCUUCGCAUCCGAUGAGAGUCGGCUUUCUAAUCAAGAAUUAUUGGUCACACUCGACUGCUUGGUUCACCUGGUUCUCCAGAAGGUGGUAGCCAGUAUUCUCCUGCCAUACAACGUAACGCAACCAUGUCACAUGGAGACGGUGUCGAUUCGGCAGAUGAUUGAGACUUUCUCGAAGGUAGAUCGGAAUCGAUCCAAGCACACGGAGGAUUCGAGAUAGCACCUGAGGGGGUGGGUUUCGUGCCGGACGAGCUGGCAUGGAUCCACCGUGUCGUCGACGGUGUUUCCAGUUCAAGGUCAACGGGAAUCUAGGAUGGGUCGCAUGUCGAAGGAACCAGAGCGACGACGAUGUAUCGGCGUUCGGUGGUCAGCCACAUGGCGAAUUAAGGGUCAGCCCAUUACCGAUUUGACCUCGGAUGACCCGGCAGUGUAUACAGAGCUGGUUGCGUGCUGCUUGAUUCAAUUAACCCCACGACACACAAACACGCGCGCACACGCACGUAUUGCGUUCUAUGCUUACGCGGACGCGUUUGCACGUGUGGGACCGUCGGUCGAGUGGUCGAAGUACUUCGGUCGAAGAACGAAGCACGACCGAUGCCACGACAAAUUGGCGAACCUCGUUGUACUCGUGAGGGAAUCGUAGAGAAACGGGGCUGGUGGGGCGAAUUGAAUCUCAGAUACGACAAUUAGAUCGUAGAAACGGGUUUGAGGAAGAAAUCGUUGAAGAGAAUAUAGUUUUCUGGGAAUUACAGGAGUAUUGUAUUAUAAAUGGUUUAAAUGCCCGAUUUAGGUUUUAACUUCAUGAAGUUUAUGGGUUUGAUGAUUAAGGUGUGUUCCGUAUUUAUAAAAUAUACAAAAUAAAAUACUCGUCAUAAUA